AAGGAAGAGACUCCAGCUUCUCUUCUGCCAUCCUCUCAUCACUGGACUAAUUCAAUGUGACAAACUUCCUGAGGAUGCCCACUUUGAACAAGGACAGAUGUACCAAUGUCCAAUAUUCCCAUCCCUCCAGCAAGAACUGAAGGAUUUCUUAUGGGUACUUCACUGUCAGGCUACUAAUGACAUCAGCCACAAUCUGAGCCCUCAUCCAGUGGCUGAUGGAAGCAGAGGCAGACAUCCACAGAUACACAUGGAACUGAACUCUGGAACUUAGUUGCAGAGAGGGAGGAAUGAAGAUUGAAGGGGUCAGUACCAGGUUGGAGAAACCCAC
rnacentral:lncRNA from 1 species